rnacentral:rRNA from 1 species
AUACGUAGGGUGCGAGCGUUAAUCGGAAUUACUGGGCGUAAAGCGUGCGCAGGCGGUUUUGUAAGACAGUGGUGAAAUCCCCGGGCUCAGCCUGGGAACUGCCAUUGUGACUGCAAGGCUGGAGUGCGGCAGAGGGGGAUGGAAUUCCGCGUGUAGCAGUGAAAUGCGUAGAUAUGCGGAGGAACACCGAUGGCGAAGGCAAUCCCCUGGGCCUGCACUGACGCUCAUGCACGAAAGCGUGGGGAGCAAACAGGAUUAGAUACCCUGGUAGUCCACGCCCUAAACGAUGUCAACUGGUUGUUGGGAAUUUAUUUUCUCAGUAACGAAGCUAACGCGUGAAGUUGACCGCCUGGGGAGUACGGCCGCAAGGUUAAAACUCAAAGGAAUUGGCGGGG